rnacentral:rRNA from 1 species
CGUAGGGUGCGAGCGUUGUCCGGAAUUAUUGGGCGUAAAGAGCUCGUAGGCGGCUUGUCGCGUCGACUGUGAAAACCCGCAGCUCAACUGCGGGCCUGCAGUCGAUACGGGCAGGCUAGAGUUCGGUAGGGGAGACUGGAAUUCCUGGUGUAGCGGUGAAAUGCGCAGAUAUCAGGAGGAACACCGAUGGCGAAGGCAGGUCUCUGGGCCGAUACUGACGCUGAGGAGCGAAAGCGUGGGGAGCGAACAGGAUUAGAUACCCUGGUAGUCCACGCUGUAAACGUUGGGCGCUAGGUGUGGGGGGCCUCUCCGGUUCCCUGUGCCGCAGCUAACGCAUUAAGCGCCCCGCCUGGGGAGUACGGCCGCGAGGCUA